GUGGGUAUAGCUCAGUGGUAGAGCACAUGCUUAGCAUGCACGAGGUCUUGGGUUCAAUUCCCAGUAACUCCU
rnacentral:tRNA from 1 species